rnacentral:rRNA from 1 species
UACGGGGGGAGCAAGCGUUGUUCGGAUUUACUGGGCGUAAAGGGCGCGUAGGCGGCUCUGUAAGUCACUUGUGAAAUCUCUGAGCUUAACUCAGAACGGCCAAGUGAUACUGCAGUGCUAGAGUGCAGAAGGGGCAAUCGGAAUUCUUGGUGUAGCGGUGAAAUGCGUAGAUAUCAAGAGGAACACCUGAGGUGAAGACGGGUUGCUGGGCUGACACUGACGCUGAGGCGCGAAAGCGUGGGGAGCAAACAGG